rnacentral:misc_RNA from 1 species
UUUAUAUUGCCUAUAUGGCAGAUGGGUAUGUAAUGACUUUCCAAUGAAUGUUGUGGAUGAAUUUUGCUACCUCUGCCAAGUGUGUAAUGACCACUCUUUAUAAAUGCCAUUUGCAAUAAUCUCAAGUCACAACUUCCUUCUAGAAGGGCCAAAAAAAGACUACUGCUUCCAUUUCUGCAUCCAACUUGCUACACUGUUGUCAUUUUGUUGUAGAGACCACUAUUGCUAUCAUUUGUGUCUUUGUCCUGAUGCUUUUAUCAUUGGGGUUGCUUUUGGCACUGCUGCAGCAGUUUCAUUGUUAUCAUGGUUGUUGCCUGUUACACUUACAUAUGUCACUGUCUUCUGGUCAUCAGCAGUUUUCUCCUACAAUGAAAUUGCGCUUUCUUCGUUAGAAAGCACAGUUUAAGCUGUCUGGUAAAAAUGCUUUGACUUUGAAUUCAGCAGAAACUCGAGUCUAGAGACUCCAUUAAAGAUCCUAGUGCAAUUAUAGCAGUGCCACAGUUUUUCAGUACUUUUGGAGAGUGUUCUGCAAUUAACUUUGCUGCCAUUUGCUUUCGUCACAUCAAGUGGCAUUGGAAUACGAGUCUAAUUCUUUUUAGUAUUCAUUGAACUAUUGCAUCCUACCUAUUUUAUUGAAAAAAUUUAUAAGUUUUCCACCAUAUCUUAUUCGAGGCAUUAGUCUGGGGAUAUAUUCAGUUUUUGUUUAAAACUAUAUUUCAAGCAUGUUUAGAUCGCAUUUGUUGAUUUGCACUUUACCCAUUUCAGUAGAUCAUCUUCAAUUCCCACAAGCAUGUGUUUAGCCAUUUUGCUUACCAGUAUUAUACUAUCGGUGUUUAUUGUCUGGUGGCAUGUCACAGCAGAAUGCAGCAUCAUUUGAUAAAAAUCAGACUAGCCCUGCUCUCAAACAGAGCCAGCGACGCGAGGCCAGUGGCAGGAUAAUCAGAAGCAUACUUUUAAACAAGGACUCACGCCAAAACCAAUCUUCUGGGGUCCAGUCUGAGCAGCAAAAUCAAACCUCAAAUUUUGAAAAGGACAAGCGCCCUCCUCGUCCUCAGCAUGUGCAGCUGAUUUUGAAGGAUGCAAAUGGUGAUUCAGAUGACAAGGUUGUGGGUAAUGACUUGCAUAGUUUUUCUGGUGAGAAGCAGGAAAAGCGCACAAGAAGCAAGGAUAGACCUGAUCGUGGUAUAUGGGCUCCUCUUCGUCGAUCGGAUGGAUCAUAUGCAAGUGAUGAAUCCAUAUUGUCAUCUGCAUCUCAAUCUGCGCAAUCAGGUGUAGAUUCUUCUCAAGGAAAUCUUGGAGAUACAAAAGUUGAUCCAUUAAAUUCAAGGAGUGGAGAAGUUAAAACCCUUGGAAGUGGACGUGGUGGUCACUCUUCUUUAGAUAAUGGAUCACAUAAACAUUUUGGUCGGAGGGGACCUCAUACAGGAAGAGAUGUGGAUGGCUCAUCUGGUGAAGGGAAGCUUUCAAAGAGAGGUGUUGCUUCUGGUUAUGGUUCCCAUGAGAAGCAAAUCUGGGUUCAAAAACCAAAUUCUGGUUCUUAGAGUUUUUGAAAAGUCAUUAUUUUGCAUUGGAAUGCAUAGUCCCAUGAAAUUUUGGAGCAUGCACUUGCUGUACGCGGUUGGCUGUCUCUUUUUACUGAACAGAUGGUCAGGUGUGAAGAAGUUUCAGCAGAGAAGGGUUUUCUUCGGGAAACCUAGAAGGGAAAGAUAAUGUCAAUGAUGCCGGAUAAUUGUGUAAUUAUAUACUUGGUGGAUUGCAGAAAAUCCCGAUCUUUAGUCAAAGACAGCUCAAAAUAGGAGGAAGAAAGGAAGGAAAAAGAUUAAAAAAAAAAAAGGAAAAAGAUAUCUUCAUUAUAAAUCCUAUAUAGGACCACAGAUUUCUCCAGGGUGACCCUUUGUGGGGUUCUACUCACCAGAGGAAGCCAUUGAUGUCCUCAUUGUUGCCUUUGACCGACUGCAAAUCGGGAUAUUCUAGUUCUAUAGGUUGAUCCCUCACUCUGAUUGAAACUGUAUAUAAGUAUCGAAAGCAAGAGCCUUACUUGAUUUCCCAUGUUUCUUAAUAUGCGUCUUGUUAAGCAGUCUAGCAUUACUCGAUUUGGUGAGAAUUUGUUUAUAGCCCCAUGUAUUUUGCAGGGCUAUCUAUAAUUGGGUUCUUGUCAAUUGUCAAAGAGAAGAAAAGGUGGGAAGAUCUUUGUUUAGCUGUGCUGAGAGUAGUAGUGAUGGUAGAAGUUCGAGUAUGUGAAUGGACUGAUGGUUAAAUGGAGUGUUUUUAAAAGAGUGGAUGAAUGUUAUAAGACGGCCAGGAACUAGUUGGGUCUUUGUUAGUGGCUGUGAAACUUUUGUUAAUGGAAAGUUGCUUUGGUGCGAUGUGAUUGCAAUUUCUAUUUAUAUUCCAGUUAUGUUAAUUUUCUUUUCUCUUCAAAUCUAUUUUCAGGAAUGCUAUGCUCACGUCACUAGCUCUCAAUGUUGUCCCAAACCUGUGUUUUAUCCUGAGGCCAGGCUCUGGGCUGAAAAGCGUUUGACCUAAUUUAAUUUAUAAGUUUUAGUUAUAAUAAUAUUAAAAUAAUAAAAUAAUUUUUUUAAAUAAUUUUUUUUAAUAAUAUUUAAAAUAAUAUUUUUAUUUAAAAAAAUAAUUUUAAAUU